UGACCGGGACGGCCCGGUCGCAUCCAUCGGGCUUCACCGGGACGACCCGG
rnacentral:ncRNA from 1 species